GAAUAGAAUAUCUCCCUCCCUGUGGAAUCUGUCAAUUUGCUAUCAAAUCAGUUAUUAUUGACUCAGAAAUUGCAUGGUUUAAAACGGAUAUGUACCUGCAUGUAUUUGGUGUGGUCAACAUUUUCUGAAAUGCAGAAUAUAAAGUUAAUAGGAUAUAAGAAUGAAAUAACUAUGUUGGAAAUGUUUUCUGGGAUUUUGGACGGAAUUCAAAAUUGUCCAAAAGCUUUUCCUAAAGCCUCGAAUUUGUUAUAGUACUUAAAAGUGUGACACAAUAUCUAAUUGGUAUUGUGUUGUGCAAGAUGUGAAAAUGUACAAUUUUUGUUGUACUACAGAUUUACUGCUUUUCUGAGGAGCGUUUGAAUGCCUCUUAUAUUCCGUUGCAAUAAUUAUAUUUCUGCUAGUCCAAAUCAUUGAAAGGCCCUAUUCUGUAGAGAAUUCAACAGCCACAUGUUUGUGUAUUUAGGUGUUAAGGGUUUUGUUAAACGAAAUUUAUUCUUCAAUGUCUCUGUCCUUAAAAAUGUUAUUAAAAAAAUGGUGCAUUUGUGUAGAAAGUACAGGCCGGAUUUGUUCACUGGAUCUUGUAAGUCGAUAAUAUUUCUUUAGAUGGAGUUCUCCGUUUUGUUGUGUAGAUGUUUUAAGGAAAGGAAGAAGUAUAUAGCUGUCAGUCAGAAUUUGUCUCCUAAUUUUCUUAACUGUCUUGACCUUUCAUCUUACAGAGUAACUGUUAUCUUACAAGUAUGAACACCUGUAUCCAAUGCGACGACCGAUAUAUGGAGUUUUUAACAAUGUAUUCGUACAACAGAGUUUGUUGCCAAUAAAAAUCACUGCUUU
rnacentral:misc_RNA from 1 species